rnacentral:rRNA from 1 species
GCAUAUCAAUAAGCGGAGGAAAAGAAACCAACAGGGAUUGCCUUAGUAACGGCGAGUGAAGCGGCAACAGCUCAAAUUUGAAAUCUGGCCCUUGGGUCCGAAUUGUAAUUUGUAGUGGAUGAUUUUGGUGCGGUAUCUUCCGAGUUCCUUGGAACAGGACGCCUUAGAGGGUGAGAGCCCCGUACGGUUGAAUGCCUAGCCUCUGUAAAUCUCCUUCGACGAGUCGAGUAGUUUGGGAAUGCUGCUCUAAAUGGUAGGUAAAUUUCUUCUAAAGCUAAAUAUUGGCCAGAGACCGAUAGCGCACAAGUAGAGUGAUCGAAAGAUGAAAAGCACUUUGAAAAGAGGGUUAAAUAGCACGUGAAAUUGUUGAAAGGGAAGGAUUUGUGACCAGACUUUUUCUGGGCGGAUCAUCCGGGGUUCUCUCCGGUGCACUUCGCCCAGUAAAGGCCAGAAUCGGUUUUCGUCGUGGGAUAAAAGCAGUAGGAAUGUGGCUCUCUACGGGGAGUGUUAUAGCCUAUUGUAUAAUACCGCGCUGGGGACCGAGGUUCGCGCUUCUGCAAGGAUGCUGGCGUAAUGGUUAUCAAUCACCCGUCUUGAAACACGG